CGAGAGUCUGCAGCAAAAUCACUCCAGGAGUCCUGCUGUGUGAGAUGAAUGGCACAUAUGCCUGCAGCAUGAUCCUGUCUUUCCUGCUGUUGCGUGCCAUUUCUAAGGAGGGGAAKAGUCCCAUGGGGAUGGGGAUGGAAAGGAAGGUAACCAAGCAAGAGGAUGACGUUUGCUGGCAGCUGAAGGAGGAUGAGGAGAGGAAGAACUCUCCAGCGGGGGGAAAAAGGAAUCUGCUUGAGCUGCAAAAACUAAAUGGAGUGAGGAGGAACGGGAUCCGGUGA
rnacentral:lncRNA from 1 species